GACGAACGCUGGCGGCGUGCUUAACACAUGCAAGUCGAACGGCAGGGCCCUGCUUUUGUGGGGUGCUCGAGUGGCGAACGGGUGAGUAACACGUGAGUAACCUGCCCUUGACUUUGGGAUAACUUCAGGAAACUGGGGCUAAUACCGGAUAGGAGCUCCUGCUGCAUGGUGGGGGUUGGAAAGUUUCGGCGGUUGGGGAUGGACUCGCGGCUUAUCAGCUUGUUGGUGGGGUAGUGGCUUACCAAGGCUUUGACGGGUAGCCGGCCUGAGAGGGUGAACGGCCACAUUGGGACUGAGUUACAGCCCAGACUCCUACGGGAGGGAGCAGUGGGGAAUAUUGCACAAUGGGCGGAAGCCUGCUGCAGCAACGCCGCGUGCGUGAUGACGGCCUUCGGGUGGGAAACAGCUUUCGCCUGUGACGCAGCGUGAGUGACGGUAAUGGGGAAAGAAGCACCGGCUAACUACGU
rnacentral:rRNA from 1 species